UACGUAGGGCGCAAGCGUUAUCCGGAAUCACUGGGCGUAAAGGGCGCGUAGGCGGGAUGGCAAGUCGGUCGUGAAAUCCCUCGGCUCAACCGAGGAGCGUCGGCCGAUACUGCCAUUCUUGAGGGAUGCAGAGGAGACUGGAAUUCCCGGUGUAGCGGUGAAAUGCGCAGAUAUCAGGAGGAACACCGAUGGCGAAGGCAGGUCUCUGGGCCACUACUGACGCUGAGAAGCGAAAGCAUGGGGGAGCGAACAGG
rnacentral:rRNA from 1 species